GAUGAACGCUGGCGGCGUGCCUAAUACAUGCAAGUCGAGCGAACAGACGAGGAGCUUGCUCCUCUGAUGUUAGCGGCGGACGGGUGAGUAACACGUGGAUAACCUACCUAUAAGACUGGGAUAACUUCGGGAAACCGGAGCUAAUACCGGAUAACAUGUUGAACCGCAUGGUUCAACAGUGAAAGACGGUCUUGCUGUCACUUAUAGAUGGAUCCGCGCCGCAUUAGCUAGUUGGUAAGGUAACGGCUUACCAAGGCAACGAUGCGUAGCCGACCUGAGAGGGUGAGCGGCCACACUGGAACUGAGACACGGUCCAGACUCCUACGGGAGGCAGCAGUAGGGAAUCUUCCGCAAUGGGCGAAAGCCUGACGGAGCAACGCCGCGUGAGUGAAGAAGGUCUUCGGAUCGUAAAACUCUGUUAUUAGGGAAGAACAAAUGUGUAAGUAACUAUGCACGUCUUGACGGUACCUAAUCAGAAAGCCACGGCUAACUACGUG
rnacentral:rRNA from 1 species